UUAUUUUUAGGGUUAAUUACACCGGUAGUCCUCAACCUUUUCAUCGAUUUUUACUUGAGUCCCCAAUUCUUUUUUUUGCAAUUGAGUCCCUAAUUUUUUGAUUUUAUUACAAUUAGGCCCCAACCGUUAAAAAAACUGUUAAAGUUAACGGAAUCGCCUCGUCAGCGCCUUGGCAAUCUUUUGCAUGUCAAUUAGGUCCCUAAACUUUGCACAUUUUUCAUUUUAGUCCCUAAAAAAAUUCAAAAUUUUAAAUUUAAAUUCAAAAAUAAUAUUAAAAUUAAAAAGUUAAACUAAUGAGAAAUUAGAAUUUUGAAUUUGAAUUUAAAACUGAAUUAAAAUUUUGAAUUGAAAUUCAAAUUUUUAAUUUAAAAUUUUAAUUGAAUCUAAAUUUUGAAUUCAAACUUAAA
rnacentral:lncRNA from 1 species